rnacentral:rRNA from 1 species
AGUGAACGCUGGCGGUAGGCCUAACACAUGCAAGUCGAACGGCAGCACAGGAGAGCUUGCUCUCUGGGUGGCGAGUGGCGGACGGGUGAGGAAUACAUCGGAAUCUACUCUGUCGUGGGGGAUAACGUAGGGAAACUUACGCUAAUACCGCAUACGACCUACGGGUGAAAGCAGGGGACCUUCGGGCCUUGCGCGAUUGAAUGAGCCGAUGUCGGAUUAGCUAGUUGGCGGGGUAAAGGCCCACCAAGGCGACGAUCCGUAGCUGGUCUGAGAGGAUGAUCAGCCACACUGGAACGGAGACACGGUCCAGACUCCUACGGGAGGCAGCAGUGGGGAAUAUUGGACAAUGGGCGCAAGCCUGAUCCAGCCAUACCGCGUGGGUGAAGAAGGCCUUCGGGUUGUAAAGCCCUUUUGUUGGGAAAGAAAUCCAGCUGGCUAAUACCCGGUUGGGAUGACGGCACCCAAAGAAUAGGCACCGGCUAACUUCGUGCCAGCAGCCGCGGUAA